GCAAAAUUUGGUGUGACCAGUACUGAACAAGAAGAUCCCUGAAAACCCAAGAUACAAAGAUGUUAAACCAACACUUGAUACAGGUGCUAGCAUGUCCAAAUAUAUGGCCAAGAUUGAAGAAAUUAGGAAAAACUACAGGUACAAGAAGGAUGAGAUGUUCAAGAGGAUGAAAGUGACAACCUUUGUUCAAUUGAUACUACAAGUUAAGGCCUACCAGCAGCAAGAAGCAGACAACCGUUUUUUGGAGUCGCAAGCAUCAGACAGGGAACUUGGCAAGUUGAAAGACGGACAAAAUGGAGGGAGUGGGGAUGGCAGUGGCAGCCCAGUUCCCUCAUUAGCACUGACAGAGGGUGACUUUGGAGAAGAGGCUGAGAUACAUACAUCUCGUUCAACAUUACAGAGUGUGAUCAAAGGCAUAGGAGAAUUUGACGUUGGAAACAACUCUAUUCCACCCACACCGUCUAUUCCUAAGUCUGAGGAGUACGACAACCCAUAUUUGCUUCUUGAUCUGAGAGACUCUGAUGCAUACAAACAGUGCCACCUCAUAACAGCAAAGAAUUACCCUUCUGCUAUGCUAUCAAGAUCAGUCAACAACUUCACUAAAGACAUCCUUGCUUAUAAAAACAAGACAGGGAAAAUCAUUGUCAUGUAUGAUGAAGAUGAGAGGAUUGGUCCCAUGGCAGCAACUACAUUUGUGGAGAGGGAUUUCAACAACACAUUCCUUCUGUCUGGAGGUUUGAAAUUGGUAGCCGAGAAGUUUCCCACAGGUUUGACAACAGGGAUGGUACCUUCUUCAUGUAGACCUCCCCCUCCACCCCAGAUGGGUAAGAAGAAGCCUAAGGAACGACCUCCAGAGCCAAUCCGUCCAGCUAACCAGACAGAUUUCACUGAUGAUGAUUUAGACAAGCUUCAAGGCCAUCUGGAAACGUGCCUUGCCCCAAGUGACACUGGAACCCGUUUGAGUCGUCAAACUCCACAAGCCCAAAGCUUGUCAUCCACAGUCAGCACAGCAAGAUCUGGGACAGCCUCCUCAAGGCUUCACUCAAGCCACUGGAAGUAGAAUGGCAAGAGACAAGGUGAGGCCUUACCAUGUGGAAACAGAAUAGCAAGAUAUAUGGUCAGUUUGCAAGGAAAAGGUGCCGAUUUUUGUGUGUGAUGUGUACAGAUGUUGUAGGAGUCGUUAUAAAUAGGUAACACUAAAAGCAGCAAAAACACACUGGUGGAAAAUCACAAAACACAUUGAAAGCUGAAAGAAGAUGAAAGUAAGUGCUGAGGUACCGUAUAAAGUUAAAGAAAUUGGAUCACUUCAGAAUUAAGUUUGGUGUACAGAAAGGGACUUUCUCAACGUGAAAAUGUUGUAAUCUCGCUAUCACUCUCGAAAUGUAAUGGUAUGGUCCAAAUCGUAAUUUGGCAGCCGUUUUUGAGCUCUGUGCACUGGGAGAUGAUUUUCAUCAACAAAAACUAUGAUUUCAAGAGUUAAACCACCUUUAGCUAAAUUAUUAGGAAAUUGAGAAUGGAUUUUAUAUUUCCAUUGAUGUCUGAACUGAUGUGAAAGUGUGGAAAAAGUUUGUGCAUAUACUCUUGUCGUGAUAUGAGUCAACUGCAUAUAAACUGCAGUAACAUCACUACUCAGUGAAGUUUUUCCAUGAUCCCAUAGAGCUACAUUGUCAAAGAGGCACAUUACUUCAAGGUUAAUUUACUGAGUACUCUUUACCAUUGAAAUAUGCUCAUUUGAAGGGGCAAGACCACCUGUCAUGCCUGUUGAUCUUCAGAUGGACCUUGCAAGUAAUUUGUACGUUGUUCUGCUCACUCAGAAUGCCCUGUAGUUCAUGGAUUUUGCACAAGAUAAAUUACAAAAUCUUCAAUUUGACUGUUAAAAAGGCUGCCGUUUUUCUGAAUUUUUCUCAAAGCAGUUAACUCAAACUUGAAACAAGUCAGUGGAAUGACAACUGCCUGAACUUUUACGCCACUAAAUCAGUCGAUCUUGUAAAAUCACAGCAAAAACCCAAUGUUGUGCCCCCUAUAUGUACAUGUAGCUAGCACACCUUGAGUCCAUUUUCCCACUUUGGUGCUUUUUUCUUGAGUUUUAACAAAUUGUGCAAGUUUUUUUGCGCAUACUAAUCCUAAACCAACCAAGGAAGACUUUUGUGGGAGCACCACAAUUGUUUCAUGGUACCCAACACACCUGUGGCUUGUUUGGUUGGACAAUAAUUCACCUGUUGUACUUAAAUUACAAUGCUACUUAAAUAAUUUGAUAUGAAAUGCACAUAUUGGAGUAACAGAAGUGCCUUGGGUCUAAUUUCAUUGGGGAAAAUGUUUUGUGUAAAUAUUAAAAAUACUUUGCAAUUAUGAAAUCUAGGAACCAAUGAAUGUGCAUGAAAUGUGUGUAAAAUAGUACCAGGUAUGUCUUGCAGUGGUAGUGUUAUACAAAUAAUGAAUAUUUAUGAACAGGGGUAAGAAUAAUUUCAUUAGGUGGCAGUUGAAAUGUUCUAAUACUUGGGCUGAAUGACACAAUUCUUUCUUCUUUCCAUUUGCACAUAUGCGAAGUAUUCAUUAAAUCCUCAUGUGCAAGAUGCUAAUUUAAUUUCUCAUCCUGAGAUAAAAGUGCAACAUUUGCAUUCUGCAACUGUAAUUUGGACUGGUUAUCAGUGUCGGAACUGGAGUGAAAUUUCUGAGGGGCAUCCUGGGGUGUGCACAUUUUUGUUUAACAAUUAAGGUUACACGCUCCCCAUAGUUAAACCACCACUGUUUGUUUGAGGAGUCACAGCUGGGCCUACUGAGUGCCUAUGUAGUCCAAUAAUAUAUUCCAGGGUUUAUCGUUGAAUAUGUCAUAUACAUGUCAGUGACAUGUUAGUCAAAUGACAAGGGAUUAUUCAGGUAUUGGAUAUUAUUGAAUGAAUAAUUUUACCACAUGGUAUGCUGUGCUUUCCAUGGGUGAUAAAAUUAUCUCAUAUUUUUCCUUUUGAUUACAGGCUUAUUACAAAUCCGGAAACGGUCUGAAUUUUCUGUGCUGGCAGUUAGUAAUUUGUUGAGUAGCCUUACUGAAUGUGUAAUCAUAACCAUACUUUUCAUGAAGAGCAGCAAUAGCCUUGCCUCCAGACUUCUGUACUCUACACAUAUGCACUGUCAAAAACUACUGCACAAAAACAGAAGUUAUUGCACAUUGAAAUAAAAUUACUUAAGAAAUCUAAUUAGCUUUGGACAGUAUAUUUCAAGUGUAAAAAAUCACUUCUUACACAAUGAACGUGUGUUUCUCACUUCAAAUGUCCUAAGAAAUAGUCAAACAUUUACAUGUGUUUUGUGUUUCUAUGAGUUGCACAUGAUUUUUGAAGUACACUGUCGGCAGUUCAUGGUGUUCUCAUAUAACAUUCUGACAAAUUGUGCUUGCCUACAAGGUAUAAUUCUGCUGAAAACCCAUUUCCUAUUUUGACAUGUUUAGAUUUACAAGCUUGUACAUGUUAAUGUAUGUUAUUGUUAUGUAGAACAGAACUUUCUACAUUAACAGUAAUUGUACAUUGAUUAGGUCCUGAGGCAUAUAUAUAUGGCAUAUACAUAUCAUGUACAGGCAAUACAUUGUUGUCAUAAAAUUGUUGGCUAGUUCUUGAUGUAAUAACAGUCAUUUUUGUACCACAUACAUAAAUAAGUAAAUAGAGGCUGCAAAUUGGGUGUAAUACCACCAUUUUUAUCAUUUGACAUAUUUUCAGGUAUUGCUAUUCACUAGCAUGCAUUAACCUUAACCAUGCCAAAAUGUAACCCUUUUUUGUAAAUCAGUUUCCGUUGGACUGUGUUGGUCCGAGUUACGAACAAAAGACCUAUUUUCCAGCCAUUGUGAUCUAAUGCAUUCUUCAGGCUGCACAUUUUGCCGUUUUUUGGAUUCUGGUACUGUACAUUCAGGAAAAUACCAAAAGAAAACCAAACAUGGUUGAGGUGAUUGUGCAUACUGUUGUUGACUUAAACCCCUUGCUUUCGGUUGGAUUUUAACUUUUGUGUGUUUCUGCUACUUUUUCUCUGUUCUUUACACAAUUUUUCAAUAUAUUUUGGCUGAAAGAUGCUUUUCUUGAACUUUUCAAUCAGUUUACGGUUCAAGAUAUAAAUUUUCUAAGAAUCGUGAAUAGAUUUGCAAUUGAAUUCUGUCACAAGAGGGAAGUUUUCAAACCUAUAUGCAUGUAUUUAACUUCCCACCUAUUUCUUACUACAUGUAAUGUGAUCUUCCGUCUUGUAUAAACUGGUCAUUUGCGUUUGUAUAAUACGCUUCUUUUAAUUCAGAGCUUUUUUUCAGUCAUUAGUCAUGGAUCUGUAUGUUUUAGUUGUAUGUCACAGUUGCAUAGUUUCAUGUCUUAAAAGUCUUUACCAUCCGUCCUGUUGGAUCAUUUCUUUGCUAUGGACAUUGCGUAUGUAACACCAUAUGCGUGUACAUGUACAUAUAAAUGAUGGUGCUUUGUUGUCUUACAUCGCAUGAGGACAUUUUGCAUUUAUGCUCUUGUUCCUGUGCAAAAGGUGGAGUUUGUAGUCUCUUCUGCAUGUAAAAGCUUUAGAAUGAUUGUGAAGGUGACAAGUGUUCAGUACAAGUGCUGGGCCAGUCAUGACUCCCACACUGAUGGGCGGGGGGUACAGUGGGGUCUACCCCCUCUCCCCGAGUUAAUUUUUUUUUUUUAAAUGAAAGGUGAAUUUUUUUUAUAGUCUGCAUAAUUUCCUUUCCUUCAAAAAGCAUGCAAAGAGCUAAUAAUGUAGCCUCACCCCUCAAAAGCCAUAAAAGGUUACAGGAAUUCCUAAAUUUAAUAAUCUUUUUCUAGGUGACUUUUGUUUUGGCAUUUCACCGCAUUGUAAAUGUUUAAUGUGUUUAUUUUUUCUCCAUUUUGUAGUUUCUUGACUGUUCUCACUUGUUUACUGUACAGUGUGUAAAAUAAAAUCUUCACAGAGUUAUCAGUGACCAAAA
rnacentral:misc_RNA from 1 species